AUAACUGGAUUUUGCAAUUCUAGAUCCCUCAAAAGCAAAGACUCUCAGAAGGACCAGAAGAAAGGACUAAAAAUUCUUGGACAACCCUGCUUUUUGGAAUCCCAUGGAGUGGCAGAGAUGAGGAACCUCUUUGGAACAAGCAGGCCGCAAUGAUCUUAACACAAUUCCGGGUCAUCUCACUGUCAACUUCUCCAAAUAACAGCAGGUGCAGCGGCUCUCCAGGGCAGACCCCUCCAAGUCGGUGACGUGUGGAUCGGCAUGGCUGCUAGCAUCACACGGCUACACUAUCCAGAGCAUCUGCAGCAUGUAAACCAUCCACACCGUGCAGGUAGCCACAGAAGGGAACAGAAAACACAGAGAACCCACACUUCUUUUGCCCUUCCAUACUGUGGCCUUGACUGACACACAUCACAUCUGCUUAGAGGCCCCUGACCAGAACUAGUCACGUGGCCCACCCUAAAAUAACAUCGUCUUCCUAUGCGCCCAGGAAGAAGAAAAGGAAAAGGGAUUUGGUGAAAACAAAGCAUGGUUUCUGGUGCACAA